rnacentral:misc_RNA from 1 species
GAAAUGCGAUAAGUAAUGUGAAUUGCAGAAUUCCGUGAAUCAUCGAAUCUUUGAACGCACAUUGCGCUUUCUGGUAUUCCGGAGAGCAUGCCUGUUUGAGUAUCAGUACACAAACUCACAAAAGGAGAUUUUUGUAGUUUCCGAUUGUGGAUUUUGGGCUUGUCACUAGCGAGAAGGGUUUUUCCUUUUCCUAGCGUAGCCUGAAAAAGAAAUUGGCCACCAGUAAGUUGUAGUAAACUUGGCUAAAGCGUGAUAAGUCUUUAUCGGGCAUUUCUCGCUGAUACCGUCAAAGCUUUGCAAAACCCUGGGUGCUGCCAGUGUAUUGGAACAAAAAACGUUGGGUGAAUAUUUUACCCUUCGUGAUCUUGAUCUCAAAUCAGGUAAGAAUACCCGCUGAACU